UACAGAGGCCUCGAGCGUUAGGCGGAAUCACUGGGCUUAAAGCGUGUGUAGGCGGAUUGGUAAGUACCUUGUGAAAUCCCACGGCUUAACCGUGGAACUGCUCGGUAUACUGCUGAUCUUGAGCCACUCAGGGGCUACCGGAACAAAUGGUGGAGCGGUGAAAUGCGUAGAUAUCAGGAGGAACACCGGUGGCGAAGGCGGGUCUCUGGGCCGAUACUGACGCUGAGGAGCGAAAGCGUGGGGAGCAAACAGG
rnacentral:rRNA from 1 species